UACGGCUACAUCACAUUGAAAUAUCCGUUCCCGUACGUCCACCGAAGUUAAGCAACGUCAAGCCUGGUCAGUACCUAGUUGGGUGACAGCUUGGGAAUAACAGGUGCUGUAAG